UGGGGGAUAUUGCACAAUGGGCGAAAGCCUGAUGCAGCGACGCCGCGUGGGGGAUGAAGGCUUUCGGGUUGUAAACCUCUUUCGCUAUCGAACAAGGCCCGCUUAGGGUGGGUUGAGGGUAGGUGGAGAAGAAGCGCCGGCUAACUACGUGCCAGCAGCCGCGGUAAUACGUAGGGCGCGAGCGUUGUCCGGAAUUAUUGGGCGUAAAGGGCUUGUAGGCGGCUUGUUGCGCCUGCUGUGAAAACGCGGGGCUUAACUUCGCGCGUGCAGUGGGUACGGGCAGGCUUGAGUGUGGUAGGGGUGACUGGAAUUCCAGGUGUAGCGGUGGAAUGCGCAGAUAUCUGGAGGAACACCGAUGGAGAAGGCAGGUCACUGGGCCAUUACUGACGCUGAGGAGCGAAAGCAUGGGUAGCGAACAGG
rnacentral:rRNA from 1 species